rnacentral:rRNA from 1 species
GAUGAACGCUGGCGGUAUGCUUAACACAUGCAAGUCGAACGGACUCUUCGGAGUUAGUGGCGGACGGGUGAGUAACGCGUGAGAAUCUGGCUUUGGGUUCGGGACAACCACUGGAAACGGUGGCUAAUACCGGAGGUGCCGAGAGGUAAAAGAGAAAUUGCCUGAAGAUGAGCUCGCGUCUGAUUAGCUAGUUGGUGAGGUAAAGGCUCACCAAGGCAGCGAUCAGUCGCUGGUCUGAGAGGAUGACCAGCCACACUGGGACUGAGACACGGCCCAGACUCCUACGGGAGGCAGCAGUGGGGAAUUCUCCGCAAUGGGCGACCGCCUGACGGAGCAAUACCGCGUGAGGGAAGAAGGCUCUUGGGUUGUAAACCUCUUUUCUUAGGGAAGAACAAAAUGACGGUACCUAAGGAAUCAGCAUCGGCUAACUCCGUG